UGUGGUAUGAACACUGAAGUUAAGUAACAGCUUUUUGUAUAUAUCUGUACCAUGUCUGUGUAGUUACUGAUGUAGAUUUGUUGAGAUAGUUUGCAUUUCUGCCUUUGUACAGCAAAGAAAUAAAAUAAGCUUAUAAAAAUAUUACAUAGUGUAAUCAGUCUACUGAGAUGUGUUGGGUUGUCUUUGACAGAACUCACUGGAUAACUACUAACUCAAAUCGAUGUGGAACUUUGAGGUCUGUUAGACGUGGUGCUGGCAGCUAGCAGUUAGAUCUGAUUCUUUUGAUGCCACAAUACUGUAGCAAUUAUCAGAAGAAACAUGAUGAUCGACAACUACUUAAAUUGGUCUCUUCCAGUUUCUAGAGUUUACAUACAGCAUAACUUUAGCCUACUACCAUUAUCUUUGUGUCUUCAGCUGGCAAAAAUCUGUACAGUACUUGAGAACCACAUCUGUAUUCAUCCAUCUUUAGUAUCUGUAAAAUGAAGCUUCAUCAUUUUGGUACCAUUAUUUUAAAAUGAUAUAACUGUUGCCAUACAAAUGUUGUAUGGAAAAGUGAACUUCAUUGUUCUCUGUGUGGGGAGGAGUGGGUGGUGGUUUUUGAAUUGGAACUUCAAGUCCUUGUUUUCCCAGACACACAGUAUUAACAACUAUUCAUCUACUCACAGGUGGAAGCAACAAAAUUAAUAAAGCCCUGAGGGUUUUAACCAGCAAUUCUACGACUAUUUUAGACAGAUGCUGUGAAAUUAAAUGCCCAGUGUGCUACUGUACAAAUAAGUGCACCUUUAGCAGAACAAAUGGACUUUUGAAGGCUAAACCACUUUGUUGUUACUACUUGGAUACAGUAUUAUGUAUUUGCAGUACUGGAAAACAAGGUACUAUAUGAGGUCAAUACACUAGCUGAGAGAACUGGACUUGAGGAAAGGUUCCUGAGUUAUGCUGAACUUAAAUAAAAGUUAUGAGCUCACUUCAAAGAUAAAUGUGAUAGGGCCUUACUCUGAAUCUGUAUUAUAAUCCUUAAUUUUUUUUCCUGAAAGGUUCUGAAAGAUUAUUUUUGAUGAGUUCAUAUCUGUCCAUUUUCAACAUAUUUGUAUGUGUAAGCACUUCACUCAGCUGUUGGAGGACUCUGCCUGUAAUAAAUGAAAAAGCUCUAAUAA